rnacentral:rRNA from 1 species
GAUGAACGCUGGCGGCGUGCCUAAUACAUGCAAGUCGAGCGAACGGACGAGAAGCUUGCUUCUCUGAUGUUAGCGGCGGACGGGUGGGUAACACGUGGAUAACCUACCUAUAAGACUGGGAUAACUUCGGGAAACCGGAGCUAAUACCGGAUAAUAUUUUGAACCGCAUGGUUCAAAAGUGAAAGACGGUCUUGCUGUCACUUAUAGAUGGAUCCGCACUGCAUUAGCUAGUUGGUAAGGUAACGGCUUACCAAGGCAACGAUGCAUAGCCGACCUGAGAGGGUGAUCGGCCACACUGGAACUGAGACACGGUCCAGACUCCUACGGGAGGCAGCAGUAGGGAAUCUUCCGCAAUGGGCGAAAGCCUGACGGAGCAACGCCGCGUGAGUGAUGAAGGUCUUCGGAUCGUAAAACUCUGUUAUUAGGGAAGAACAUAUGUGUAAGUAACUGUGCACAUCUUGACGGUACCUAAUCAGAAAGCCACGGCUAACUACGUG